AUUGAACGCUGGCGGCAGGCCUAACACAUGCAAGUCGAGCGGAUGAAGGGAGCUUGCUCCUGGAUUCAGCGGCGGACGGGUGAGUAAUGCCUAGGAAUCUGCCUGGUAGUGGGGGAUAACGUCCGGAAACGGGCGCUAAUACCGCAUACGUCCUGAGGGAGAAAGUGGGGAACUUCGGACCCCACCCCUUCCGAAUGAGCUAGGUCGGGUUAGGUAGUUGGUGGGGUAAAAGCCUACCAAGGCGACGAUUCGUAACUGGUCUGAGAGGAUGAUCAGUCACACUGGAACUGAGACACGGUCCAGACUCCUACGGGAGGCAGCAGUGGGGAAUAUUGGACAAUGGGCGAAAGCCUGAUCCAGCCAUGCCGCGUGUGUGAAGAAGGUCUUCGGAUUGUAAAGCACUUUAAGUUGGGAGGAAGGGCAGUAAGUUAAUACCUUGCUGUUUUGACGUUACCAACAGAAUAAGCACCGGCUAACUUCGUG
rnacentral:rRNA from 1 species